ACUACAACGGGUGGAGCCUGCGGUUUAAUUGGACUCAACGCCGGAAAACUCACCGGGGCGACAGCAAUAUGUAGGUCAAGCUAAAGACUUUACCAGAAUCGCUGAGAGGAGGUGCAUGGCCGUCGUCAGUUCGUACUGUGAAGCAUCCUGUUAAGUCAGGCAACGAGCGAGACCCGUGCCCACUGUUGCCAGCAUGUCCUUCGGGACGAUGGGUACUCUGUGGGGACCGCCGAUGCUAAAUCGGAGGAAGGUGCGGGCUACGGUAGGUCAGUAUGCCCCGAAUCUCCCGGGCUACACGCGGGCUACAAUGACUGGGACAAUGGGCUCCUACCCCGAAAGGGGAUGGUAAUCUCAUAAACCCAGCCGUAGUUCGGAUCGAGGGCUGCAACCCGCCCUCGUGAAGCUGGAAUCCGUAGUAAUCGCGUUUCAACAUAGCGCGGUGAAUACGUCCCUGCUCCUU
rnacentral:rRNA from 1 species